rnacentral:rRNA from 1 species
GGGACACGUGGUAUCCUGUCUGAAUAUGGGGGGACCAUCCUCCAAGGCUAAAUACUCCUGACUGACCGAUAGUGAACCAGUACCGUGAGGGAAAGGCGAAAAGAACCCCGGCGAGGGGAGUGAAAAAGAACCUGAAACCGUGUACGUACAAGCAGUGGGAGCACGCUUAGGCGUGUGACUGCGUACCUUUUGUAUAAUGGGUCAGCGACUUAUAUUCUGUAGCAAGGUUAACCGAAUAGGGGAGCCGAAGGGAAACCGAGUCUUAACUGGGCGUUAAGUUGCAGGGUAUAGACCCGAAACCCGGUGAUCUAGCCAUGGGCAGGUUGAAGGUUGGGUAACACUAACUGGAGGACCGAACCGACUAAUGUUGAAAAAUUAGCGGAUGACUUGUGGCUGGGGGUGAAAGGCCAAUCAAACCGGGAGAUAGCUGGUUCUCCCCGAAAGCUAUUUAGGUAGCGCCUCGUGAAUUCAUCUCCGGGGGUAGAGCACUGUUUCGGCAAGGGGGUCAUCCCGACUUACCAACCCGAUGCAAACUGCGAAUACCGGAGAAUGUUAUCACGGGAGACACACGGCGGGUGCUAACGUCCGUCGUGAAGAGGGAAACAACCCAGACCGCCAGCUAAGGUCCCAAAGUCAUGGUUAAGUGGGAAACGAUGUGGGAAGGCCCAGACAGCCAGGAUGUUGGCUUAGAAGCAGCCAUCAUUUAAAGAAAGCGUAAUAGCUCACUGGUCGAGUCGGCCUGCGCGGAAGAUGUAACGGGGCUAAACCAUGCACCGAAGCUGCGGCAGCGACGCUUAUGCGUUGUUGGGUAGGGGAGCGUUCUGUAAGCCUGUGAAGGUGUGCUGUGAGGCAUGCUGGAGGUAUCAGAAGUGCGAAUGCUGACAUAAGUAACGAUAAAGCGGGUGAAAAGCCCGCUCGCCGGAAGACCAAGGGUUCCUGUCCAACGUUAAUCGGGGCAGGGUGAGUCGACCCCUAAGGCGAGGCCGAAAGGCGUAGUCGAUGGGAAACAGGUUAAUAUUCCUGUACUUGGUGUUACUGCGAAGGGGGGACGGAGAAGGCUAUGUUGGCCGGGCGACGGUUGUCCCGGUUUAAGCGUGUAGGCUGGUUUUCCAGGCAAAUCCGGAAAAUCAAGGCUGAGGCGUGAUGACGAGGCACUACGGUGCUGAAGCAACAAAUGCCCUGCUUCCAGGAAAAGCCUCUAAGCAUCAGGUAACAUCAAAUCGUACCCCAAACCGACACAGGUGGUCAGGUAGAGAAUACCAAGGCGCUUGAGAGAACUCGGGUGAAGGAACUAGGCAAAAUGGUGCCGUAACUUCGGGAGAAGGCACGCUGAUACGUAGGUGAAGUCCCUCGCGGAUGGAGCUGAAAUCAGUCGAAGAUACCAGCUGGCUGCAACUGUUUAUUAAAAACACAGCACUGUGCAAACACGAAAGUGGACGUAUACGGUGUGACGCCUGCCCGGUGCCGGAAGGUUAAUUGAUGGGGUCAGCGCAAGCGAAGCUCUUGAUCGAAGCCCCGGUAAACGGCGGCCGUAACUAUAACGGUCCUAAGGUAGCGAAAUUCCUUGUCGGGUAAGUUCCGACCUGCACGAAUGGCGUAAUGAUGGCCAGGCUGUCUCCACCCGAGACUCAGUGAAAUUGAACUCGCUGUGAAGAUGCAGUGUACCCGCGGCAAGACGGAAAGACCCCGUGAACCUUUACUAUAGCUUGACACUGAACAUUGAGCCUUGAUG